rnacentral:rRNA from 3 species
GGACUACAAGGGUAUCUAAUCCCGUUCGCUCCCCUAGCUUUCGUGCCUCAGCGUCAGAAGAGACCCAGUAAGCCGCUUUCGCUCCUGGUGUUCCUUACGAUAUCAACGCAUUUCACCGCUCCACCGUAAGUUCCGCUUACCUCUGCCUCCCUCAAGCCCAGUAGUUUAGGGCGCAAUUCCUCGGUUAAGCCGAGGGCUUUCACACCCUACUUUCUGAGCCGCCUACGCACCCUUUAAGCCCAGUAAAUCCGAAUAACGUUUGGACGGUACGUAUUACCGCGGCGGCUGGCAC